rnacentral:rRNA from 1 species
UACAGAGGGUGCAAGCGUUGUUUGGAAUUAUUGGGCGUAAAGGGUGCGUAGGCGGUGCGGUAAGUCUGUGGUGAAAUCUCUGGGCUCAACUCAGAGUCUGCCAUAGAAACUGCCGUGCUCGAGUGUGGGAGAGGUGAGUGGAAUUCCCGGUGUAGCGGUGAAAUGCGCAGAUAUCGGGAGGAACACCAAUGGCGAAGGCAGCUCGCUGGGACGUUACUGACGCUGAGACGCGAAAGCGUGGGGAGCAAACAGG